UUUCCGUAGGUGAACCUGCGGAAGGAUCAUUAACGAACAACGGGGCUCGCCCCUUGUCCACAAACACGCCCCCCCGUGCACGUUGAAGGCCCGGCUGGUUGAGUGGGUGGGCGACCGCCCAGGAUUCGUAGCCUCGCUUUCUUUACACAAACUUCAGAAUGUACAUCGGAAUGUGUUACGCGUCGUGACGCGUCGUAAUAUAACUUUCAGCAACGGAUCUCUUGGCUCUCGCAUCGAUGAAGAACGCAGCGAAAUGCGAUAAGUAAUGUGAAUUGCAGAAUUCAGUGAAUCAUCGAAUCUUUGAACGCACCUUGCGCCCCUUGGCAUUCCGAGGAGCAUGCCUGUUUGAGUGUCAUGAAACUCUCAACCCCCGCCAUCUUUGGAGAUGUGGGUCGGUUGGAUUUUGGAGGUUGCCGGAUGCGUUCGGCUCCCCUUGAAUGCAUAUUAAAGCUUGGACCUGACUGACCGACAUCUCUGAGCUCUGACCUCAAAUCAGGUAGGACUACCCGCUGAACUUUAA
rnacentral:rRNA from 1 species